rnacentral:rRNA from 1 species
UACGGGGGGAGCAAGCGUUGUUCGGAUUUACUGGGCGUAAGGGGCGCGUAGGCGGCCAGCACAAGUCAGUUGUGAAAUCUCCGAGCUUAACUCGGAAAGGUCAACUGAUACUGUGCGGCUAGAGUGCGGAAGGGGCAACUGGAAUUCUUGGUGUAGCGGUGAAAUGCGUAGAUAUCAGGAGGAAUACCGAUGGCGAAGGCAGGUCUCUGGGCUGACACUGACGCUCAUGCACGAAAGCGUGGGGAGCAAACAGG